rnacentral:rRNA from 1 species
UACAGAGGGUGCAAGCGUUGUCCGGAUUUACUGGGCGUAAAGCGUUUCGUAGGCGGCUUUUUAAGUUGCUCUUCAAAGAUCAAGGCUCAACCUUGGGAAGGGGAGCAAUACUGGAAGGCUUGAAGAAUGUUGGGGUUUUCGGAACUUGCGGUGUAGGGGUGAAAUCCGUUGAUAUCGCAAGGAACACCAAGGGCGAAGGCAGAAAACUAGGCAUUUCUUGACGCUGAGGAACGACAGCUAGGGGAGCGAAAUGG